rnacentral:rRNA from 1 species
GAUUAGAUACCCUGGUAGUCCACGCCGUAAACGAUGUCGACUUGGAGGUUGUUCCCUUGAGGAGUGGCUUCCGGAGCUAACGCGUUAAGUCGACCGCCUGGGGAGUACGGCCGCAAGGUUAAAACUCAAAUGAAUUGACGGGGGCCCGCACAAGCGGUGGAGCAUGUGGUUUAAUUCGAUGCAACGCGAAGAACCUUACCUACUCUUGACAUCCAGAGAACUUAGCAGAGAUGCUUUGGUGCCUUCGGGAACUCUGAGACAGGUGCUGCAUGGCUGUCGUCAGCUCGUGUUGUGAAAUGUUGGGUUAAGUCCCGCAACGAGCGCAACCCUUAUCCUUUGUUGCCAGCGGUUAGGCCGGGAACUCAAAGGAGACUGCCAGUGAUAAACUGGAGGAAGGUGGGGAUGACGUCAAGUCAUCAUGGCCCUUACGAGUAGGGCUACACACGUGCUACAAUGGCGCAUACAAAGAGAAGCGACCUCGCGAGAGCAAGCGGACCUCAUAAAGUGCGUCGUAGUCCGGAUUGGAGUCUGCAACUCGACUCCAUGAAGUCGGAAUCGCUAGUAAUCGUAGAUCAGAAUGCUACGGUGAAUACGUUCCCGGGCCUCGUACACACCGCCCGUCACACCAUGGGAGUGGGUUGCAAAAGAAGUAGGUAGCUUAACCUUCGGGAGGGCGCUUACCACUUUGUGAUUCAUGACUGGGGUGAAGU